ensembl:lncRNA
AUCUUGCUGGAGAUCUCUGCCUGCCUGUAGCCUUCUAAAGUGUGGGAGGACCAGACUAUGUGAACCUGCUUGUUAAAAUCAGCACUGAGUUCAGUUUGAAUGACGUUGUUUCUACCUCUGCCUUGGUAUUAAUAUUGAUCUAAUCAGCACCUGACGACUGAUUUCUCAUGUCUCUGGGGACUCUGUACCUUGUGCAUGCUCUAAAUGUAGUGUGAAUAUGGAACCUCAUCCUUCCAGGAGAAGUAAUGGGACCUGAGCAGAAUUCCUCCCCUCCCAAGGGCUGCUCAGCACUUCACAGGACUCUAUAUGACAUGAGUUUGGUGGGAGUUAUGCUAAUGUCUGUGUUAACCCUCUGAGCAUAGUUAAUGCAAAUCAGAUGUUUCUCAGGAUUAAACAGUUAGCUGGAGCUGCUUUGCAAUGGGAGUUAGGAACACAAAGGCACUUUAGAAAAAUCCCACUAGGUAUCACUAUCUAUAUCUCACAGUUCCCAAACACACUUAAAAAUCAGACCCUUAGGGGCACAGAUCUGAGUGAAAGCUAUACAUUCUCACUAGGUGAGAUAUAAAUUCCUCAGGACCUGAUUCACAGCACAGAUUCACUGAUUCUAAAUGCUCAUUUUUCAUGGAAUGUUAUUCACUGGAAGGGAGAGAUCAGGAGAACAGUGAGUAGACAAGCAAUUGGGGGACUCACUUUCAGGGCAAAGCUUAUCCUUAUCCAAAUACCUAUUCAAGUAUUCUGCACAAGAUAAAAUAGCUCUACCAAGGAAGACUUUGAGGAUGCUGGCACUCAGCUCCCUCCUGGAGCAUGUCUUGACCCAAGAGAAGGAUCUAACUGCAGGGUCAGAGGUUGGAAGGAGGCAUUGCUGCAGGCAGUGUCCUGCAGGGACAUGUGUUCGUGGUGGCAGGAGCCCCACAGUGACCAUCAGCUAGCUCAACUGAUUGCACUGGGCAGGAUAGAGGAUAGUCCAAGAAAUAGAGGGAUGGAGGAUCUCACACCCACUUACUGCAGGGCUUGGUAAAAAAAAAAUUAGGGUACAGUCGUUUUAUUCUAUGUGUAUGAUUCCACAGUAUUGCUCCUCUCCAGUCAUGCAAAAAGAAGUUGUCAAUGCACCACCUUUCAGGAGUACUUUGCCCUUUUGUUUUUCUAAAGCUGCAUGGGAAGUGCUAGGUAAAAUGAAUGUGUCUCAGAGAAGUUAAAUGGAACAACUGUGCAUUGGACUGGUGCAGUUUCCUUCCUGUCACAUUCAAACGCAUCAGCAGCCCCAUCCAAGCACACACUGGGCUAGGUUAGCGAGCUCAUCAGGCAUGCUAUCCUUGCCUUCUGACUUCCUCCUGCAAAUAAAAACGGUGGCCCUAAUGAGAAUUAAUUAGGGCUGGGGGUGGAGGCAGGGCGGGGGGGCAUCAUGUUUUUGUUUGUAUUGUUUGUUUUCUAUAAACCUGUGGUGGGAAGAAAAAAAAUCAUAUUAGUUCUCCAUGCACUAUAGUAAAUGUAAUAAAAAAAUGAACACAUGGUAAUUAGCUUCUCCAUUAAGUAUACCAAGCAU